GAGGGUAUAGCUCAAGUGGUAGAGUGCAUGCUUAGCAUGCAGGAGGUCCUGGGUUCAAUCCCCAGUUCACUUC
rnacentral:tRNA from 1 species